GACGAACGCUGGCGGCGCGCCUAACACAUGCAAGUCGAACGAGCGAGAGAGAGCUUGCUUUCUUGAGCGAGUGGCGAACGGGUGAGUAACGCGUGAGGAACCUGCCUCAAAGAGGGGGACAACAGUUGGAAACGACUGCUAAUACCGCAUAAGCCCACGGUGCCGCAUGGCACAGAGGGAAAAGGAGCAAUCCGCUUUGAGAUGGCCUCGCGUCCGAUUAGCUAGUUGGUGAGGUAACGGCACACCAAGGCGACGAUCGGUAGCCGGACUGAGAGGUUGAACGGCCACAUUGGGACUGAGGCACGGCCCAGACUCCUGCGAGAGGGAAGAAUGGGGAAUAUUGCAAAAAGGAGGAAUACGUGACGCGGCGACGCCGCGGGGAAGAAGAAGGGCUUCGGAUUGUAAACUGCUGUUGUUGGGGAAGAUAAUGACGGUACCCAGCAAGGAAGUGACGGCUAACUACGUG
rnacentral:rRNA from 1 species